rnacentral:rRNA from 1 species
AUAUUUUGAACCGCAUGGUUCAAAAGUAAAAGACGGUCUUGCUGUCACUUAUAGAUGGAUCCGCGCUGCAUUAGCUAGUUGGUAAGGUAACGGCUUACCAAGGCAACGAUGCAUAGCCGACCUGAGAGGGUGAUCGGCCACACUGGAACUGAGACACGGUCCAGACUCCUACGGGAGGCAGCAGUAGGGAAUCUUCCGCAAUGGGCGAAAGCCUGACGGAGCAACGCCGCGUGAGUGAUGAAGGUCUUCGGAUCGUAAAACUCUGUUAUUAGGGAAGAACAUAUGUGUAAGUAACUGUGCACAUCUUGACGGUACCUAAUCAGAAAGCCACGGCUAACUACGUGCCAGCAGCCGCGGUAAUACGUAGGUGGCAAGCGUUAUCCGGAAUUAUUGGGCGUAAAGCGCGCGUAGGCGGUUUUUUAAGUCUGAUGUGAAAGCCCACGGCUCAACCGUGGAGGGUCAUUGGAAACUGGAAAACUUGAGUGCAGAAGAGGAAAGUGGAAUUCCAUGUGUAGCGGUGAAAUGCGCAGAGAUAUGGAGGAACACCAGUGGCGAAGGCGACUUUCUGGUCUGUAACUGACGCUGAUGUGCGAAAGCGUGGGGAUCAAACAGGAUUAGAUACCCUGGUAGUCCACGCCGUAAACGAUGAGUGCUAAGUGUUAGGGGGUUUCCGCCCCUUAGUGCUGCAGCUAACGCAUUAAGCACUCCGCCUGGGGAGUACGACCGCAAGGUUGAAACUCAAAGGAAUUGACGGGGACCCGCACAAGCGGUGGAGCAUGUGGUUUAAUUCGAAGCAACGCGAAGAACCUUACCAAAUCUUGACAUCCUUUGACAACUCUAGAGAUAGAGCCUUCCCCUUCGGGGGACAAAGUGACAGGUGGUGCAUGGUUGUCGUCAGCUCGUGUCGUGAGAUGUUGGGUUAAGUCCCGCAACGAGCGCAACCCUUAAGCUUAGUUGCCAUCAUUAAGUUGGGCACUCUAAGUUGACUGCCGGUGACAAACCGGAGGAAGGUGGGGAUGACGUCAAAUCAUCAUGCCCCUUAUGAUUUGGGCUACACACGUGCUACAAUGGACAAUACAAAGGGCAGCGAAACCGCGAGGUCAAGCAAAUCCCAUAAAGUUGUUCUCAGUUCGGAUUGUAGUCUGCAACUCGACUACAUGAAGCUGGAAUCGCUAGUAAUCGUAGAUCAGCAUGCUACGGUGAAUACGUUCCCGGGUCUUGUACACACCGCCCGUCACACCACGAGAGUUUGUAACACCCGAAGCCGGUGGAGUAACCUUUUAGGAGCUAGCCGUCGAAGGUGGGACAAAUGAUUGGGGUGAAGUCGUAACAAGGUAGCCGUAUCGGAAGGUGCGGCUGGAUCACCUCCUUU